GAUGAACGCUGGCGGCGUGCCUAAUACAUGCAAGUCGAGCGAACAGAUGAGGAGCUUGCUCCUCUGACGUUAGCGGCGGACGGGUGAGUAACACGUGGAUAACCUACCUAUAAGACUGGGAUAACUUCGGGAAACCGGAGCUAAUACCGGAUAAUAUAUUGAACCGCAUGGUUCAAUAGUGAAAGACGGUUUUGCUGUCACUUAUAGAUGGAUCCGCGCCGCAUUAGCUAGUUGGUAAGGUAACGGCUUACCAAGGCAACGAUGCGUAGCCGACCUGAGAGGGUGAUAGGCCACACGGGAACUGAGACACGGUCCAGACUCCUACGGGAGGCAGCAGUAGGGAAUCUUCCGCAAUGGGCGAAGGCCUGACGGAGCAACGCCGCGUGAGUGAUGAAGGUCUUCGGAUCGUAAAACUCUGUUAUUAGGGAAGAACAAAUGUGUAAGUAACUAUGCACGUCUUGACGGUACCUAAUCAGAAAGCCACGGCUAACUACGUG
rnacentral:rRNA from 1 species